rnacentral:rRNA from 1 species
UACGGAGGGGGGUAGCGUUGUUGGGAAUUACUGGGCGUAAAGCGCACGUAGGCGGAUUUGUAAGUCAGGGGUGAAAUCCCGGGGCUCAACCUCGGAACUGCCUUUGAGACUGCAAAUCUCGAGUCCGGAAGAGGUGAGUGGAAUUCCUAGUGUAGAGGUGAAAUUCGUAGAUAUUAGGAAGAACACCAGUGGCGAAGGUGGCUCACUGGUCCGGUACUGACGCUGAGGUGAGAAAGCGUGGGGAGCAAACAGG